CUGAUGGGCUGAUGGGGCUGAUGUGGCUGAUGUGGCUGAUUGAGCCCGAGUGGGCGUCCGUCGCAGAGCGGGCUUCCUGCGGGCUGCGCGGGUGGGGGACAUGCUCUAACGGGCAGGCGGAGGCCGGUCGCGGUGCCCCGCGGGUGGGCCGCUGGAGGCCCCGGGGAGCACGGGUGCGUUUUGGAGCUCGGGUGGCGGAGGCUUGUCAGGACCCGGGGACCGCGCUCGCGCCGUCCUGUGUCCUCAUCUGGCCCCCUCCCAGCGGCUCCCUGUCGCCACCCACUGAUGGGAGGAGUGCGGGGCCACCUGGUGGCCAGGUCCCAGGUUCAAAGCUACGACCAGUCGCCACCCGCAGUGUCCCUGGGCGGGUCCUCUGGCCCUCGGAGCUUAUGACCUUCCCGCCGGGGCGCGCACGUCCGACUGGGGUUGUGGACGUGGGAAGCACCCCCGAGGUCGAUCCCCAGUACAGAAAAGAAAAGAGGAAGUGCCUUUUCAGAUAAAAGGGGACACCCUGUACCUAAUUCACCUAAGGGCACCUGUGCAAGCAUCAUGGGGAAGAGGUACCUCCAAAAGAGGGUCCUGAGGAGUUCCUGGAGAGAGGAGGAGUGGGCUCAGGACCGCGGAGUCCUUGGCAUCCGUGACAGAGAAGAACUUCAGCACAUGCCCCUAGAGGCAUUCAGGGAGAAGGUGGACCAUCUCCUAAGACAGACAGGCCAGCUCUUCUCCUACAGGAACCCGAGGGGCAUGAGGAGCUGGGGGGUGACCCCACUCUGGCCGUCUCGGGAUCCUCAGGUGGAUGUUUGAUCAAAAACACUGCAAAGUCUCCAGGUUCGAGAAAGUCCCCUGAAUUAUAUAUAGGCUUCUCAAAAUA